GAAUAUUUCGGCAAGAAUGUGGAUUGAUCCCCUUUGAAUGGUUUACCAUGAGUGUAUGAAAAAUAACAUACUGGUCAAUGACUUACUAACAAGUUAUAAAUACUUCGGCAAUUGUCUUGUAAUUCAUUCCUGACGAUGAGGUUGUAACGUCGAAACAUGUGAAGUCUUGGACUUUUUGAAGGCUACAGAUAGGCCUAGAUAAAAUGUUUUUAAUAGUGUACGAGUUUAACGUUGAAUAUUAUUUAUGAUUUUAACUUUAUACAGAAGUGCCGAAAUAGUAUAAUUAUGUUAAGAUUAGUUAAUACAAGUUGUUUUAAAUAUGGGAGUGGUAGGUUCUAACUUAAAAACAACAACAAGUAAUCUUACUUGAAAACUGAAAGCACAGGCAGUAGUAUUUAUGUUUUGAGCAUUUGAGCUAGAACUAAGUACAUUACUAUGGAAAUUGUAUUUAUAUUUUGAAAUAAUAAUCUUUGUAUAUGUGUAAUAUUAUUUGUUCUGUGAGUUACCAUCUCGGUAUUUAUGUUGUUGUAGGUAAAAGUAAAGAUGCUGAAAUUGAAUCAAAAAUAAACAAGGAAUGGCAAAUAUUCGUUCAAAAUUCAGAGGUAAAGGCCAUUUUUUAUUAUGUUUUAUAUUAACGUGAAUAUCUUUUAUAUGGAAAUUAUUCAUCCGAAGUCCAGGUGUAAAUACCAUCAUUGGCCAUUGAAGCUUUUCAAAAGAUUGUAUGUAUAACUAUGUUUGAUGUUCAGGUGACAGGACCCUUGAUGGAUACCAGAAGAAGUAUGAUUGCAAAUUGCUAUUUAUUUUCAUUCUUGGUCAUGAUAUUGACUUUGGUCACAUGGAAGCUGUCAAUUUUCUAAGCUCCAAUAAGUAUUUCUAAAAUCAGAUACUAAAAGUUGAAUGUAUACAAGUAUUUUGAGAAGCAGAUAGUAACUGUUGAAUGUAUACAAGUAUUUUGAGAAGCAGAUAGUAACUGUUGAAUGUCUACAAGUAUUUUGAGAAGCAGAUAGUAACUGUUGAAUGUCUACAAGUAUUUUGAGAAGCAGAUAGUAACUGUUGAAUGUCUACAAGUAUUUUGAGAAGCAGAUAGUAACUGUUGAAUGUCUACAAGUAUUUUGAGAAGCAGAUAGUAACUGUCGAAUGUCUCUUUACAUCUUUGUGAUUGAUGUUUAUGUGCCAACAAUUUCUGUUAUUAGUAUUAACUUCCAAUCGGAGUAAAACUAAAAUUGAAGCUGGUAUUAGUAAUGACUAUAGCUAAUUAAAUAUACUUUCUAACAUUCUUUCAUCAGUUGAAUAUUCUCAAUGUUAACUGUAUUUUCAGAUGUAGUUCAAGUAAUAUCUCCCAAAAUUUGGCCAGCAAAGAAGAUAUAGAGCCAACAAUGAACAAUUAAAACUGAUUGUCCAGUCAAUUAAGAAUGACCUGUGUUCUCGAAACCCCAUUCACGUCAAUCUUGCUCUGCAGUGCAUCACUAACAUAGGUAGUAAGGAGAUGGACGAAACUUUCGGACCUGAAAUUCCAGAACUGCUAGUCUCUGGAUUGUAACAUCGUCAUACACAGAUCUGCAAGACUAACUAUUAUAUUGUCCCUGCUCCCUGGCUAUCUGUGAAGCUUUUGAGGUUUCUUCAGAAUUAUUCAGUACUUGAGGAUCCUGGAGUUCUAGGAUGGUUGACAGUGUCUAGAAACCACUUUAAAUUGAGCCCAAGAACCUCCAAAAUCAUUACUCCAAAAAUGCUGUUCUGUUUGAAGCAAUUAGCCUCAUCAUACACAUGGACAGUGAACCAAAUCUUCUCAUUAGGGCUAGCAAUCAGCUGGGUCAGUUCUUGCAGCAUCGAGAGAUUAACUUAAGGUACUUGGCACUAGAAAGCAUGUGUUUGUUGGCCACUUCAGAGUUUUCCCAAGAAGCCGUUGAAAAACAUCCGGAAACUGUUGUCACUGUACUGAAGAUGACUUUCAUCUUUAUCAUUUUCAAAAACCAUGCAUUGAGAAGCUUUUGGUAGUGCCACAACAAGUAGGUUGGAUACUGAAGUCAUGCGACGCUGGGAACAUGCACGCUGGAGUUUCUCGAAGGAU
rnacentral:lncRNA from 1 species